rnacentral:rRNA from 1 species
CCUACGGGUGGCAGCAGUGGGGGAUAUUGGACAAUGGGGGGAACCCUGAUCCAGCCAUGCCGCGUGUGUGAAGAAGGCCCUCGGGUUGUAAAGCACUUUCAGUGAGGAAGAACGCCUGGUGGUUAAUACCCAUCAGGAAAGACAUCACUCACAGAAGAAGCACCGGCUAACUCCGUGCCAGCAGCCGCGGUAAUACGGAGGGUGCGAGCGUUAAUCGGAAUUACUGGGCGUAAAGCGCGCGUAGGUGGCUUGAUAAGCCGGUUGUGAAAGCCCCGGGCUCAACCUGGGAACGGCAUCCGGAACUGUCAAGCUAGAGUGCAGGAGAGGAAGGUAGAAUUCCCGGUGUAGCGGUGAAAUGCGUAGAGAUCGGGAGGAAUACCAGUGGCGAAGGCGGCCUUCUGGACUGACACUGACACUGAGGUGCGAAAGCGUGGGUAGCAAACAGGAUUAGAUACCCGUGUAGUC